UACGAAGGGUGCUAGCGUUGUUCGGAAUUACUGGGCGUAAAGCGCGCGUAGGCGGCGUUUCAAGUCAGGGGUGAAAUCCUUGGGCUCAACCCAAGAAUUGCCUUUGAAACUGUAACGCUGGAGUGUCGGAGGGGAUAGCGGAAUUGCUAAUGUAGAGGUGAAAUUCGUAGAUAUUAGCAGGAACACCGGUGGCGAAGGCGGCUAUCUGGACGACAACUGACGCUGAGGCGCGAAAGCGUGGGGAUCAAACAGG
rnacentral:rRNA from 1 species